UACGUAGGUGGCAAGCGUUGUCCGGAUUUAUUGGGUUUAAAGGGUGCGUAGGCGGUCCUAUAAGUCAGUGGUGAAAUAUCCCGGCUUAACCGGGAGGGUGGCAUUGAUACUGUAGGACUUGAGUAAAGUUGAGGUUGGCGGAAUUGACGGUGUAGCGGUGAAAUGCUUAGAUAUCGUCAAGAACACCUAUUGCGAAGACAGCUAACUAAGCUUUAACUGACGCUGAGGCACGAAAGUGUGGGGAUCAAACAGG
rnacentral:rRNA from 1 species